rnacentral:rRNA from 1 species
AGGACGAACGCUUGCGACGUGCCUAAGAAAUGCAAGUCGAACGGAAUUACCUUCGGGUAGUUUAGUGGCGAACGGUCGCGUAACACGUAGGCAACCUGCCCUGAAGCGGGGGACAACAACUCGAAAGAGUUGCUAAUACCGCAUGUGUAUCGGAAUGGCAUCAUUCAGGAUACAAAGGACUUCGGUUCACUUCAGGAUGGGCCUGCGGCCUAUCAGCUAGUUGGUAAGGUAACGGCUUACCAAGGCUUCGACGGGUAGCUGGUCUGAGAGGACGAUCAGCCGGAUUGGGACUGAGAUACGGCCCAGACUCCUACGGGGGGCAGCAAUUAGGAAUCUUGCGCAAUGGGCGAAAGCCUGACGCAGCGACGUCGCGUGAAGGAUGAAAUCUUUCGGGAUGUAAACUUCUUUUACCAGGGAAGAAACAAUGACGGUACCUGGUGAAUAAGCCCCGGCUAACUACGCGCCAGCAGCCGC